AAUAAGAUGCCUGAUUAAAGGAUUAUUUUGAUAGAAUAAAUCAAGUAUUAAUAACAAAUACUCUUAUUA
rnacentral:tRNA from 1 species